rnacentral:rRNA from 1 species
UGCGUAGGCGGCCUCUUAAGUCUGGCGUGAAAGCCCAGGGCUCAGCCCUGGAAGUGCUCUAGAAACUGAGAGGCUAGAGUGCCGGAGGGGAGAGUGGAAUUCCCGGUGUAGCGGUGAAAUGCGUAGAUAUCGGGAGGAAUACCGGUGGCGAAAGCGACUCUCUGGACGGUAACUGACGCUGAGGCACGAAAGCGUGGGGAGCAAACA